UCUGACCACGUCCUAGGCAUGAUGCUGGGUCCUGGGGAAAGAAGGGUGAACAGAUCACAGCCUGAUCCCUGCUCUCACGACUUUAUAUCACAGCUGGAGACAGACGACAAGACAGUAACAAUCACCACAGCAGCAGCGAACCCAAACAGCACGCUCUGAUGGGAAACACCGGGAUGAGAGAACCGGCUAGAUAGCCUGAGAUCUGAAGGCUGAGGAGGUACCGGCUCUGGAGGUCUCAGCCUUCCUCCAUCACUGAAGGCCUUGGGCAUUGCCUGUUUGAUUUCUCUCUUCUGAGAAGCAUCUGCUCCUGCCCCACCACUGAGGAUACCUCCCUUUUUCAGCCCCAGUCCUCAGCUGCUUUUAAUUUCAUGAUUAUCAGCCACGAGGAAUCGGUUUCUUGAUGACUCAGGAGCGAGGGACGCUGGGAGUUCUCUACCUGGGGCUUCUUCCUCAAGAACUCAUCCCAAGUCCCCUGCAAGGGAGCAGCCUUCCCUGAUCAGCACUGAGUCUGUUUGAGAUGCUCCAGGUCUGGCCGUCAUGGCCCUGGUGACCUCGUGGUUUUUUUGGCUUUAAAUCUCCAGCAACCGGCAAAGCAUCCGGUACGCAGGGGAUGCUUGAUAGAUACUUCUUGAACAAAUGAAUUCAUGGAGGAGUGAACGGACAAAUAAACCAGGCCAGUGUUCAGGCUCCCCUUUAAUUUGGAGGAACAUAAGCAGGCUUGUCGGAUGCAAGCCUGCAAGCCGGGAUUCAGCCAACAGACACGGGCAGUUGUUGAUUACAUCAAACGCGUCCCCAGGCCCGUGGAGGAGGCGACCGCGUGUGCUACCAGCAUCACAGUUCCCUCCAGGGCGAGGAUCCAGAGCUUUUCCAGGGGAAUCCUGAGGUGGUCUGGCUCAAAGCCCGGCUGGCCUGUCUGCUUCUUCCGAAGAGACGAUGACGGCCAGGAGUGCAGACUUCAAUGCCUACGGAUGCCAGAUGGGGACACCAAGGCUCAGAGCGAGGAAGCCACUGUUAAUAAGUGGAUGAGGCAGAAUUCACAACCGGGUCUUCUGACUCUAAAUUCAACACUUAGUAGAGAAGAACAUCUGUAUCUGCUUUAAAAUUUUAUGGAGACUGAUGAAAUACCGUACGUUUAAUACUUUGGAGAGAAAAUGUGAAGCAAAUAAAGUUUGCAUUUUAAGAGAUGAGAAGGGCAAGGGUGUCAUUCUUUUUUGGGUCUGGAUUUUGAGGUAUGUUCUUGAAAGUUUGGUGCUUGGUUGUUACCUACAGUAUAAAACUAGACUAACAAUUAUGGGGAAAUCUGGAGAGCAGACCUUC